UACAGAGACUGCAAGCGUUAUUCGGAUUCACUGGGCGUAAAGGGUGCGCAGGCGGCCAAGUGUGUGAGGCGUGAAAGCCUGGGGCUUAACUCCAGAAUUGCACCUACAACUACAUGGCUAGAGCAUUGGAGAGGGUAGCAGAAUUCACGGUGUAGCAGUGAAAUGCGUAGAUAUCGUGAGGAAUACCAGAGGCGAAGGCGGCUACCUGGACAAUUGCUGACGCUCAGGCACGAAAGCGUGGGUAGCAAACAGG
rnacentral:rRNA from 1 species